rnacentral:rRNA from 1 species
GGAAUAUUGGACAAUGGGCGAAAGCCUGAUCCAGCAAUGCCGCGUGUGUGAAGAAGGCCUGCGGGUUGUAAAGCACUUUCGGUAGGGAAGAAAAGCUCGGGGAUAACACCAACGGGUAUUGACGUAACCUACAGAAGAAGAACCGGCUAACUCCGUGCCAGCAGCCGCGGUAAUACGGAGGAUGCAAGCGCUAAUCGGAAUUACUGGGCGUAAAGCGCGCGUAGGUGGUUGGGUAAGUCGGGUGUGAAAGCCCCGGGCUUAACUUGGGAAUUGCAUUCGAUACUGCCCGACUAGAGUAUGGAAGAGGGAAGCGGAAUUUCCGGUGUAGCGGUGAAAUGCGUAGAUAUCGGAAGGAACACCAGUGGCGAAGGCGGCUUCCUGGUCCAAUACUGACACUGAGGCGCGAAAGCGUGGGUAGCGAAC